rnacentral:rRNA from 1 species
AUACGGAGGGUGCGAGCGUUGUUCGGAAUCAUUGGGCGUAAAGCGCGCGUAGGCGGCUCGGUAAGUCUCUUGUGAAAGCCCGGGGCUCAACCCCGGGAGGCCAGGGGAUACUGUCGGGCUGGAGACAGGCAGAGGCUGGUGGAAUUCCGGGUGUAGCGGUGGAAUGCGUAGAGAUCCGGAGGAACAUCGGUGGCGAAGGCGGCCGGCUGGGCCUGUUCUGACGCUGAGGCGCGAAAGCGUGGGGAGCGAACAGGAUUAGAUACCCUGGUAGUCCACGCCGUAAACGAUGGGCACUAGAUGCUGGUGGGAUCGACCCCAUCGGUGUCGCAGCUAACGCAUUAAGUGCCCCGCCUGGGGAGUACGGCCGCAAGGCUGAA